rnacentral:lncRNA from 1 species
UUUGUUUCUGGAGAUUUAAAAAAUAAUAACAUUCCAGUGUUACUGGGAGACUGAUUUACUAUUCAGAGACAAAUAAGUUGGAGAGAAAUUUUUUGUUCAACCAUACUAAAUACUAAGGCAAGGUAUUGCAUUAUUACAAGGUAAGACUAGAGGGACUAGAGACUUACUUUUGAUGCAUGAGUGUCUUAUUGUUUCAAUGAAGUAUCAUUUUACCUUCAAAACUUUAGCUCCGGCCGGGUGCGAUGGCUCACUCCUAUAAUCCCAGCACUUUGGGAGGCCGAGAUAAUUUUUCACAACAAGAUAAUGUCCCUUAGAUUAUCGAGUGCUGUCUACAUUUCAGUGCAGAUUCUUGGAGUUAUUUCAAAGUUUCUUCUGAUUUGAUCUAGAAGAACAAGAUCUAGAAUCUGGGGCAAGAUUAUCCAAACCUGAAAUCAAGGCCUCAGGAAUACCUUAUACCAAGUCUUGGAAUGUGGGUUUUCGUAUAAGCAGCUCUCUUCUUUACAACAGCUUUGC